CGUCUUUGCCGUUGAAUUUGUGUGUGCUGUGUGUCUGCAUGUGUGAACAACCGCGAAGUUAUCGAUUGAUCAUUGAACAUAGUUUUCGGAAAUAGCGAAGUGGGAACUGGGAAGGCGUUUCAGUACAUCUGUGUUUCGGUAGUGUCAGUGUGGUUUCGUGCCGCAUAUCUGCAACUUGAAAGCUCAAAGUUGUUUCUCGAUUCUGUUAUUUACACGUUCGUCAUGAGCGCCAUCGGUGGUAAUGAUGAAAUGGUAACGAAUAGACUGAAAGCCUUAACAGAUAAGCUUGAAGAAAUGGAUGCAAAUUUAUUGAGAGUUAAGAGGGAAUAUAAAGAAUUUCUGGAACUUAACAGGACUGUUUGCAGUUAUAUUCAAGCCUCCAUCAGAAGUGUCAGCUAUGAUGAAGAAAAUCCUGACACACGAAACGCUGGGAGUCAGCUACGAUGAAGAAAAUCCUGACACACGAAACGCUGGAAGUAAAUAAAACAGAAUUUUGGUACAUUUCGUUGUUAUCAGUUCCGAAUUUGUGCACACACAGCUGCAAGCAAUGUAUCGAGAUGUUCAAAAAUUAAAAUUUGUUUCCGAUACCUCAGUAAUUGCUUCUACCUCAGGUGCUUUAUUUGGGAUGUCUUUUUAUUUAUGAAAUGACAUCAAUUACGGUUAACAGUGUGGUGAUAAUGCAAUUUCUGUAGAGGUAUAUAAGUAAUUCCAGGCCUUGUUGUCUUUCAUGUGUAAUCGAAAAGUUGAUUGUGAGUGCGACAUACAGCGUGCACGAAAAUGUUUCCAUGUUUGUUCCAGUGCAACCUGAUGAAGACAGUUCCAUAAGUAGAGAAGCAUAAUUGCAAUACUAUAUGUUAAUGGAUGGGAGAGGUGAAAUAUCCACAACAUGUGUGAUGGUCUCUGUACUUUAAGUUGGCUUUGAUAUGAGGCUGUUAAAGUAGGCCUAGCCUACAAGCUGAUAGAUCUUGAACAUAUACUUAUUCAAAUUUCAUUGGACAUACUUGUUAAUAAGCAGCUUACAGCUUUUAGUGAGUUUGAGUAUAUGUGAUUUUUAUUUUGAAGUUGUCUGCUUUGCUUUAUAUUAGUGUCAAGAAGUUGCAUGUAAUGAGACUGAAAUAAAAAUAUAUAGACACAA